ACUCCUACGGGAGGCAGCAGUGGGGAAUUUUGGACAAUGGGCGAAAGCCUGAUCCAGCAAUGCCGCGUGUGUGAAGAAGGCCUUCGGGUUGUAAAGCACUUUUGUCCGGAAAGAAAUCCUUGGCUCUAAUACAGUCGGGGGAUGACGGUACCGGAAGAAUAAGCACCGGCUAACUACGUGCCAGCAGCCGCGGUAAUACGUAGGGUGCGAGCGUUAAUCGGAAUUACUGGGCGUAAAGCGUGCGCAGGCGGUUUGCUAAGACCGAUGUGAAAUCCCCGGGCUCAACCUGGGAACUGCAUUGGUGACUGGCAGGCUAGAGUAUGGCAGAGGGGGGUAGAAUUCCACGUGUAGCAGUGAAAUGCGUAGAGAUGUGGAGGAAUACCGAUGGCGAAGGCAGCCCCCUGGGCCAAUACUGACGCUCAUGCACGAAAGCGUGGGGAGCAAACAGGAUUAGAAACCCGUGUAGUCCCAUGA
rnacentral:rRNA from 1 species